rnacentral:misc_RNA from 1 species
GAUGAAGAACGUAGCGAAAUGCGAUAAGUAGUGUGAAUUGCAGAAUUCAGUGAAUCAUCGAAUCUUUGAACGCACAUUGCGCCCCAUGGUAUUCCGUGGGGCAUGCCUGUUCGAGCGUCAUUUACCCCCUCAAGCUCCGCUUGGUGUUGGGCGUCUGUCCCGCUUCGCGCGCGGACUCGCCCCAAAGGUAUUGGCAGCGGUCGUGCCAGCUUCCCGCGCAGCACAUUGCGCUUCUCGAGGCACCGGUGGGCCCGCGUCCAUCAAGCUCACCCCCCCAGUUUGACCUCGGAUCAGGUAGGGAUACCCGCUGAACUUAAGCAUAUCAAUAAGCGGAGGA